rnacentral:lncRNA from 1 species
UGCCCAAAUGAAUGGAAGUAGGUGGGCUGGCUGGUCCAAGGAGGAGUAAAUUUGGGAAUCGGAAUCGGGCGGGCAGAAAUACUUGUCUCUCCCCUGGAAGAUCUGCACUUAACGGCAGUUGCGCCUCUUUCAUUGGACACCAGGGGGCGGAUAUUUCUUACAAAUGAGGACAUUCUCUACCUAACCACAAGCACCAAAAUCAGGAAAUUUACAUCAAUGCAUUGUAACCACCUAAUCCUCAGACUCCAGGCAAGUUUAACCAGCUAUCCCGAUAAUGCCUUUCAGAGCAAGGGAUUCGGUCCCGAAUCCUGCACGGCAUUUAGCUGUCAUUUCCCCCUAGCCUCCCUCAUUCUGGAACAGCUCCUCAGUCUUCCAUAGACUUGCACAACCUUGAUGCUUUUGAAGAUUUUAGGCUACGUAUGUUGCAGGAGGUCCCACAGCUCCAGGAUUUUUGCCUGGAUGAAGUUGUUACUAACACAGUUGCCAAAUGGUGAUUUCCUGAUUCCAUCAUUCCUCCUUCUCCUCCUCCUCCUUCUUGGAUUCCUUGAUCUGCCUCAGAGGGUAGGGAAAUGAGUGAGUGCCUCUAACUUGAUUGAGCUCACCUGUGGUACAACAUUACCUGUCUGCAUUCCCACCUCAUGCCUUCCUACAGGACUCACAUUUAUUCCCUGUCUUCCAGCUUGUGGAAUGGCAGACGUUCAUAAGAAUGAGAUAAAUUUGGGUUGGUUCCAAGUCCUUGCUAUUGUGAAUAGUGCUGCAGUAGUCUGGAUUAAGAAAAUGUGGCACAUAUACACCAUGGAAUACUAUGCAGCCAUAAAAAAGGAUGAGUUCAUGUCCUUUGUAGGGACAUGGAUGAAGCUGGAAACCAUCAUUCUCAGCAAACUGUCACAAGGACAAAAAAACAAACACCACAUGUUCUCACUCAUAGGUGGGAAUUGAACAAUGAGAACACUUGGACACAGGAAGGGGAACAUCACACACCGGGGCCUGUUGUGAGGUGGUGGGACGGGGGAGGGAUAGCGUUAGGAGAUAUACCUAAUGUAAAUGACGAGUUAAUGGGUGCAGCACACCAACAUGGCACAUGUAUACAUAUGUAACAAACCUGCACAUUGUGCACAUGUACCCUAGAACGUAAAGUUUAAAAAAAAAUGAGAUAAAUUUGGAGUUUUAUGAGAGGCACCCCUCACAUCUUAGUGCUGCACUGCAAUGUGCUGCCCCUCAAGCUCAGCUGAGAUAAAAUAUCUGGCCUGCAGUAAGGCUCAACAAUUGAUAACCCCUGCUAUGCCUCUGCUCUUCAAAUGGUCGAGUGAGUUGGGAAAUGCUCCAUUCCAGAGCAUUAUUGGAGAUUUAUCAUAAUGCAAGUUAGGAUAAUACAAACCCUACUAGUACAGACUCAUAGUUUGCUUCUGGAAGGUGGGGUCUGUGCCUUCCUUAUCUCUGAACUCUCCACAGUGCCAGCAGCUCAGAGCUUGUCACAUAAUAGAUAGGCAGCAAAUGCUAAACAGACCAACAAUAGGCUCACUGAAGGGCUUGGGGUGUAGCCUGUGGAAUCCCUGGAGUGGGCUGCAGACUGGAGACAGAGACCCAGGGAGGGUUUCAGGUAUGGGGUGAUGGAAGCUCUGGCUAAAAUUCUCUCCUCCUUUCCCUCUGUUCUUGAUGUUCUGCCUUUCAGUCCCAUGUCUGUAGCCUCUCAAAGGCAUCGCUGCAUCUCUAACUGCCCUGCAGUGGUCCCAGCCUCCAUCACCCCAUAGCUGAAACCCUCCCUGGGUCUCUGUCUCCAGUCUGCAGCCCACUCCAGGCAUUCCACAGGCUACACCCCAAGCCCUUCAGUUAACUUAUUGUCUAUCCACAUCCAUGCCAGCUCCUUAGUCUGGCAUUCAAGACUUACAACUCUCCAUCCUGUGGGCUAGUCCCAUCCCCAGGUAGAACCCGGAAUCCACGUUUAAGCCAGCUUGUACCAAGGAAUCCUGCUUCACUGCAGGAUAUAUUAAUAAAACCACUCCUGGUUUCUUUAGAUUAAUAUUUGAUGGUAUACUCUUUUCUAUCCUUUCCCUUGAAGCCUCAUUUGUAUCUUUAUAUUCAAAGUGGGUUUACUGUAGACAGCAUGUAGUUGGGUCUUGCUUUUUUAUUGAGUCUGACAACACUUGUCUUUUAACUAGAUAAUAAGCAUCAUUUAAAUUUAAUGUGAAUAUUGAUAUAAUUUAGUGUGAAUCUACCAUCUCACCAUUUGCUUUCUAUUUGUCCUAUCUGGUCUUUGUUCAUUUUCCCUCUCUUUUUUCUGCCUUUUUGGGAAUGUUUUUAUGCUUCUUUUUAUCUCCCUUGUUUUUAUCUCCCUUGUUAGCUUAUUAUAUGCUCAAUUUCUUAGUGAUUGCUUUAGAGCAUACAACUUAUAACUUUGAAUUUAUCACAGUCUAUAUUCAAGUACGAUUCUGAAAAUAUAAUAAUUAUAUUAUGGAAUAUAAGGACCCUACAACAGAAUACUUCAUUUUACCUUGCUUGGCUUUCGUCCUAUCACUGCCAUGCAUUUUACUUCUACUUGUAUAUAAACCAUGUAAUUUAUUAUUAUCAUUGCUUUAAAUAGUUAAUUAUAUUUUUAAAAUAGUUUAAAGUAUAUUUUUAUUACCUCAUAUGUUGAUCAUUUCCUGUACUUCUCAUUCUGUUGUAUAUAUCCAUAUUUUCCAUGUAAUUAUAAUUUUUCUUCUGCCUAAAGGAAUUUCUUCAAUAUUUUUUAAAGUGUUGGUCUAUUUGUGGUGAAGACUUUCAACUUUUAUAUGCCCGAAAAAGUCUCUAUUUCACCUUCAUUUUAAAAAACCAGCUUAAUUGGGAUAUAAUUUGCAUAUUAUAAAAUUCACCCUUUUAAAUUGUAUAAUUCAGUGUACGAUUCAACCAUCACCACUAUCUAAGUUUAGAACAUCUUUAUCGCCCCCAAAAGAAGUCCUGUACCCAUUUGUAGUCACUCCUCAUUCCAUUCCUCCCGCUUUAAUAACCACCAUGCUGUUUGCUAUUUUUCCCCAUUUCUUCUCUUGGCAAUCAAGGCAGCAUGGAGAUGGAACCUCCCUCAGUCUGGUUCUCUGAGUGAGAAUGACACAGGGCAGAGCUCACAGCCAACCCAUGAUGGACAUGUAGCAUCAGUGAGAAGUAAGCCUUUGUUUUAAGCUAUGGCACACUGGUCAUGUUUGUUACUGAGCAUAACUCAGUCCAUUCUAACAGAUGCCAGUAGGGCAUGGACUGAAAUAAUCACAACUUGUUUGGAGAUGUUUUUGAGUCUUUUCAUUCCUUCAAGAAUGAUGCCAAAAAUGUUAGUGUUUGAGGUAUUACGAACACAAAAUGGGGGAGAGACACAGCUCUGCAAGGUAAUGGCUAGUCUCCCUACUGUGCAUGGCAUUUGUUGACUUCUCCAGUUUCACCCUGUCCUCAUCUCUCCAUGCUAUGCCUGACAAGUCCACAACAUCUUUGAAAUGGGACACUUGUUUGCACAUCUCCAGGCCUUUACUCAUGCUCUGCCUAGAAUGGGACAUAUCGCAGGAAAUCAUGUUAUUUGUUGAGUGGCUUGGGUGGAGACAAGCGUGUGGGGGAGAGGGGAGCAUUGGGCUUUUUCUGUGAGGCACAGAAGGCAGAACACUUAGGACAGAGAGUGAGAUUCCUGUGCAAUGUGAACGAGUUUGUUACCAAUAGAGCUUGGUCUGGCACAGGAAUGAGCUCACCACACUAGAAAGUUUCCAAGCAGAGGUGGGUGUCAUGGAGGGGGAUCCAGGUCAUCAGAAGUAUAGCACACUCUCCAAUCCUGUCUCACAUGACUUUCAGGAAGAUUGCCCAAAGUAGGUUGAUUUUAGCUGGAACUAUAUAUGUAUUUUUUCUCUUUUCAAAAUAAAAGUAGCUUUUUUCACAUUGUCUUAGUCUGUUUGUGCUAUUGUAAGAGACCACUUGAAACCGGGUUAUUUAUAAGAAGAGAAAUGUAUGCGUUCACAGUUCUGA